UACGAAGGGGGCUAGCGUUGCUCGGAAUCACUGGGCGUAAAGGGUGCGUAGGCGGGUCUUUAAGUCAGGGGUGAAAUCCUGGAGCUCAACUCCAGAACUGCCUUCGAUACUGAAGAUCUUGAGUUCGGGAGAGGUGAGUGGAACUGCGAGUGUAGAGGUGAAAUUCGUAGAUAUUCGCAAGAACACCAGUGGCGAAGGCGGCUCACUGGACAUGUAUUGACGCUGAGGUGCGAAAGCGUGGGGAGCAAACAGG
rnacentral:rRNA from 1 species